GGUGUUACAGUGAACCCGUAUAUACGAAGAUUGCAUUUACCAUUUAUUCUGCUUGACUAAUUCUAUUAAUAAACAGCUGAAAAUAUAUUCAGUAGCCUAGUGUUAAAUUUUGUUCUGAUACCAGAAUUGAAUUGACGCAGCCCUAACAAUUGGUGACCCCGAAUGUGAUUCUGGUAGAAGGACUUCGCUGGAACUUGUCCGGCCGAUUGGCCAUCGCUCUCGUCGGACGGUGUGUUUCACAAAUCCUGACCGGUCAAACAAAAGGUAAGCAGACACCUAUUGUGAAUAACUAAAGUUCUGCAUAUUGGCAUUAUCCAAAUUUAUUUUGUGAAGCACCUGUUUGAUGUAAGUGAUUAAAUUGUGGAACGUCCACCUGUUACAUUAAUAAUUUGAUUUUGAAACAAUUUUGAGAGUUGUGGUGUGAUAAAUGCAAUCUUGAAACCGAUCGAUCGUUGAUGAUAUAACAAGUGAAUGUAAUGUACUAGGUAUUGAAGUACCAAGUGUGUAUGUGGUUAGUCGGCGUACUUAACCGGAAUGAGUGUGGAUGGAUCUAGGUAUAACAGCGAUUGUAAUGUACUAGGUAUUGAAGUACCAAGUUUGAGCGUGGCUGUCAAGUCUGGGACUGGUAGCAAGACUGAAUGAAGAUUGGGAGGUCAACCUAAUCGUAUGACUGAAGUACAUUAGAUACUAGUCGGCGUACUGUAUCAAGUGUGAAUGAUCUACGGAUGAAGGUGUUAUACUGAGUAACCAUUGAAUGACUGAAGUACAUUAGAUACUAGUCGGCGUACUGUAUCAAGUGUGAAUGAUCUACGGAUAAAGGUGUUAUACUGAGUAACCAUUGAAUGACUGAAGUACAUUAGGUACUAGUCGGCGUACUGUAUCAAGUGUGAAUGAUCUACGGAUAGAGGUGUUAUACUGAGUAAACCACUGAAUGACUGAAGUACAUUGGGUAUUAAGUCGGCGUACUAAUACCAAGUUUGAGUGACCUGUGGGUAAAUAAGAGGUCGGGGACGGUCGACCUGAGUUAUAUCAUCUAGCGCUGGGGAAAUAAAUAACGUUAGGAACGUACGUUAGAGACGUAAAUUGACAUUGAUAGUUAGGUUACCAUAGACUGAAAUUGAAAGGGAUGUAAAAUAACAUUGAUAGUUAGGUUACCAUAGACUGAAAUUGAAUAUGACCAACCAGGAGACCGAGAGGGUGCUGAAAGCACUGAAGUUAACACUAGAGAUUAAUGGGGGUAGAGACGGGAAAGAGUGGAAAAGGAGGGGGAAAAUUAUACAGGGAAUGGAUAAGAGAAGGUAGUAUUAAUGCACCCAACAGACUCCCAGUCGACGGGGAGCACGGUAGAAUAUUGGAAACGCUAAAACGAAAAACAGACAAAACCUGUUCCGAGUGGAAGCAGGAGGGGGAAGCGUGUAAAGGAAUUGCAGGAAUUUACGGGAGUUGAGCGAUACAUGGAGUUAAUUUUAUUUUACAGGGACGAUGCACAUUAAACACAGUUAUGUAUAAUGGCAGGGUAUUCCUAGCAAACAGAAUGGGCCUGUUUGCAGACAAACUGAAGGGGUUUUAAGGUUUUAAGCAAUCGUGGGUCAAAUUAGUCAAAUAGUACGUUAAAAUAUGGGGUUUCAUAGAUUGGAAGUAAAAUAUAUAAUCCAAGGGUAGUGUAUGUUCAAUUAAAGUACACAGAACCAUCGAGGAAGUUUAAAACAAAUGAUAAUGAUUUGAGGAAGUACAGUGGAGUUAUUAUUAGGUUUUGUUUGUAGUUAACUUUUGGGGUUUUGAAUCGGUGUAGUAGGAUGAAAUACUGACCAAGUGGUUGUAUUUUCUGGAAAAAGGAGCGUUUCAAAUUCCUAGGGACAGGAGAUCUUAAAGGGGUAUACACACAUAUGGAAUCUUAGAAGUUAUACACCCAUGGAAUCGUUGAGGUUUUGUUUUCUGAGUUUUAAUUAAAAACGUGAAAUUCUUUUGAUAGGGAAUGUUCUGGGAACCUGGGAUACAAAAUGUAGAUAAAGUUCUUUGCCUUCAUUUAUCUAAAGUAGUAAGAAACACGGUUCUGAAAGGGUGGUAUGACUUUUGACCCCUCUGGUGACUUUUCCUUUUGUGGUCUGAUCAGCCGCAAUGAAAAGCCAUUUGGAUGGUGAAUUUAAGGUCAUUUGUGAUACUGACUUUAAGGAAAUUUGUAGAACUGAUAAUUAUGAUGGAGUUAAAGUUCUUAGACGCAGUUGAAAAUUUGAACCAAUGAGAAGACUGAAUGACGAUAAGGGUACAAUAAUUUUUCUUUGUGGAGUAGUUCAGAUUAGUCAUUUUUGAUCUGAUUAUGUUAUUUGAACUCCUAUAAUGAUUUGUUUAGAUAUGCAGCAAUAUUGAUACAUGGCUUGAGCCAUGUAUAAAUAGGGGGAGUAUGGUAGGGCAGGCGAUAGAACAGGUUAGGAUAAUUACUUAACAACAUUUUUGUAGAAUAUCCUUUCCAACAUUUGGAAAUGGACUUAUUGAACUAUUACGAAUUGAGGGGAAGAAGGGGUGUUUAA